AGUGAACGCUGGCGGUAGGCCUAACACAUGCAAGUCGAACGGCAGCACAGUAAGAGCUUGCUCUUACGGGUGGCGAGUGGCGUACGGGUGAGGAAUACAUCGGAAUCUACUUUUGCGUGGGGGGUAACGUAGGGAAACUUACGCUAAUACCGCAUACGACCUACGAGUGAAAGCAUGGGAUCUUCGGACCUUGCGCGAUUGAAUGAGCCGAUGUCGGAUUAGCUAGUUGGCGGGGUAAAGGCCCACCAAGGCUACGAUCCGUAGCUGGUCUGCGAGGAUGCUCAGCCACACUGGAACAGAGAGACGGUCCAGACUCCUACGGGAGGCAGCAGGGGGGAAUAUUGGACAAUGGGCGAAAGCCAGAUCCAGCCAUACCGAGUGGGUGAAGAAGGCCUUCGGGGUGUAAAGCCAUUUUGUUGGGAAAGAAAAGCAGCAGGUUAAUACCCCGCUGUUCUGACGGUACCCACAGAAUAAGCACCGGCUAGGUUCGUG
rnacentral:rRNA from 1 species